rnacentral:rRNA from 1 species
AUGUCGCCUUCGAGUUCGCCGGAGGAAGAGACGCCGAGUUCGACGGAGGUAGAAGAACAUCCGUCGAGCCGUCCAAUAUCGACAACGGCGGCUACAGCAGAGGUAUGUAGCCCCUUGAAAGCCAAAUCACUACAAAGGAAAUCAAGGGUAGCCCCUGUUUCUCUGUCUGCCACAGAAUUGCGAACCUAUUCUUUUAUUCAGUACAUAGUUCAACAGUUUUUAGCAAAGUUUCAGUUAUUUUCUAACUGCUUUCUUCAGAGUUCAGAAAUUUGA